rnacentral:lncRNA from 10 species
CUGGUCUCGAACUCCUGACCUCACGAUCUACCCACCUCAGCCUCCCAAAGUGCUGGGAUUACAGGCGUGAGCCACUACACCUGGCCUAUGGUUAAUUCUUAAUGUCUUCUCCUGAGCUUCUUCGUUUUUAGUUCUUAGUUCCCCCAAAACAGAACCAGGAAAGAAGGUAAGAGAGGCUCGUUCACAACCAUCACAGUUUAACAGAAAUGUUUUGUUUUUUUUUUUUUUUUUGAGACGGAGUCUCGCUCUGUUGCCAAGGGCUGGAGUGCAGUGGCAUCAUCUCGGCUCACUGCAAGCUCCGCCUCCCAGGUUCAUGCCAUUCUCCUGCCUCAGCCUCCCGAGUAGCUGGGACUACAGGCACCCACCACCACGCCCAGCUAAUUUUUUGUAUUUUUAGUAGAGAUGGGGUUUCACCGUGUUAGCCAGGAUGGUCUUGAUCUCCUGACCUCGUGAUCCACCCCCCUCGGCCUCCCAAAGUGCUGGGAUGACAGGCAUGAGCCACCACGCCCGGCCCAGAAAUUAUUUUUUAACUCUCCAUUUGGGGAUUACAAGUCAAAAUGUACCACUAAUGCUAUAAAAUAGCAAUUCCUUUGUAAUUUGAAAGAAAUUAUACAAUUAAUUUGCUUCAGAUUAUCAAAGUAACAUUAAGAACAAUAAAAGCAUUAUAAAAGAAACCGUUUAAAUACAUUCUUUUUAAAAUUUAAGGCAAAAGUGAACCGCAUGGUCAUCAUCAAAAGUUGUAAAAGCAACUUAAACAAAUUUACAAUUAAAAAAACCCAAUUAGAAAGUGGACAAAGAACAUGAACACUUCUCAAAAGAAGACAUUUAUGUGGCCAAAAAAACAUGAAAAAAAGAUCAACAUCACUGAUCAUUAGAGAAACACAAAUCAAAACCACAAUGAGAUACCAUGUCACAUCAGUCAGAAUGCCAGUUAUUAAAAAGUCAAGAAACAGGCUGGGCCCAGUGGCUUAUGCCUGUAAUCCCACCACUUUGGGAGGCCGAGGCAGGUGGCUCACUUGAGAUCAGGAGUUUGAGACCAACCUGGCUAACAUGGUGAAACCCCAUCUCUACUAAAAAUAGAAAAAUUAGCCAGGCAUGACAGCGGCACCUGUAAUCCCAGCUACUCAGGACGCUGAGGCAGGACAAUCGUCUGAACCCAGGAGGAGGUUGCAAUGAGCUGAGAUCACGCCACUCCACUCCAGCCUGAGUGACAAAGUGAGCCUCUUUUUCAAAAAAAAGAGAGAGUCAAGAAACAAGAGAUGCUGGCGAGGCUGUGGAGAAAUGGGAACACUUUUACACUGUUGGUGGGAAUGUAAAUUAGUUCAACCAUUGUGGAAGACAGUGUGGCAAUUCCUCAAAGACCUAGAACCAGAAAUACCAUUUGACCCAGCAAUCCCAUUACUGGGUAUAUAUCCAAAAGAACACAAUUCAUUCUAUUAUAAAGAUACAUGCACACAUAUGUUCAUGGCAGCACUAUUCACAAUAGCAAAGAUAAGGAAUCAACCCAAAUGCCCAUCUAUGAUAGACUGGAUAAAGAAAAUGUGGUAAAUAUACACUAUGGAAUACUACGCAGCCAUAAAAAGGAAAGAGAUCAUGUCCUAUGCAGGGACAUGGAUGGAGCUGGAAGCCAUUAUCCUCAGCAAACUAAUGCAAGAACAGAAAACCAAACACUGCAUGUUCUCACUUAUAAGUGGGGGCUGAACAACAAGAACACAAGGACACAGGGAGGAGAACACACACUAGGGCCUGUUGGUGGGGGUUGAGGGAUGAGGGGUGGGAGAACAACAGGAAAAACAGCUAAUGCAUGCUGGGCUUGAUACCUAGGUAAUGGGUUGAUAGGUGGAGCAAAUCGCCAUGGCACAUGUUUACCUAUGUAACAAACCUGCACAUCCUGCACAUGUAUGCUGGAACUUACAAAAUAAAAAUAAAUUUUUUUAAAGGUGUAGAAAAGCCAGAUAUGGUGGUGUGCACCUAUAGUCCCAGCUACUCAGGAGGCUGAAGCAAGAGGAUCGCUGGAGCCCAGGAGUUUGAGGCCAGCCUGGACAAUACAGAGAGAACUCAGUAAUUCAGCACUUUGGGAGGCCAAGGUUGGUGCACUGCUUGAGCCCAGGAGUUCCUGGGCAACACUGUGAGACCAUGUCUCUACAAAUAAUUGUAAAAAAUAAUUUUUAAAUUAGCCAAGUGUGGUAGUACAUGCCUGUAGUCCCAACUACUCAGGAGAUGGAGGUAGGAGGAUCGCAUGGGCUGAGAGUUCAGGGCUGCAGUGAGCCAUAAUCAUGCUGCUGUACUUAAACCUGGGCAACAGGGUUAAGACCUUGUCUCUAUUAAUUUAAAAUUUUAAAAAGUAAAUACAUAAAU